AGAGUCCACGCCCUUCUCUUCUCAUGCCAUAAGUGGAUAGGGAUGAGUUGGUUUGCAUUUGAAUUCAAACUCGAUUUGAAUUCAAAUGUGCAACCACUUAUCUUUAUCCUCUCACGUGGAUAAGACAUGUUCGACGUUGUUUUAAAAAGGGGAGAAAGGUGGGACGUGCAUAAGAAAUUUUUGGAGAGAAAUUUUGGGAUGUGAGAAACCUUUCUGCAUGAGGUGAAGGUCCAAAACCUUCCGAGAGAAAAAGAAAGAAAAGAAAGAAAAAAGGGUGCAGAGUUUUUCUUAGUGUACCCUAGGGUUUCAGCCUGGGAUUCAGGAAGUG
rnacentral:lncRNA from 1 species